CUAGCCACUGAGAACUGGGCUGAAUCUAAGCUUAUCAACCUUCCUUCUAGUUACAGAGAUGGAAAGGGAAUAUGACCAUCACUCAUGUGGAAGUUGAGCCAUUAGAAGAAAGUCCACACAUCUUAUCUGCCAGUAAAAACCUAGUCUCACCAGAUGUCUCUUCAUUCAAGCAAGGUGAUUGUUAAGACUUUUUGCAAUAAAGUGUUUUUUUUUACUUAAGGCUAGUGACUGUUCUAAACAGAAUCAUAAGAUCUGACUGUGACCAAUAAUGGAGAACUUGCACUUGCAAAGAAAUGGUUGUGGAGAAGCUUCCCAUUUCUAUAUCUGGACACAACUAUGUGAGGAGGUGAUGCUGGAACAGGCCUACUGUCUGAAGUUCACAGGCUGAGGAUGACAGGAAAAAAUAAAAGAUUUAACUAACCUGGUGAUGAUGCCACUGAGCCCUUGAAUUAACCCUGAAACUGUGCUAACUAUAGACAUCUUAUUAUAUGAGACA
rnacentral:lncRNA from 10 species